UAAGGAAGCUGGGAAAGCACGGCAGGCUUGCCGGUGUUUUGGACUAGCUCAGCGCGGAUUCUAAGAUACGAGUCAUUCAUCCAGGGCUGGAAGGACCCUUCUCCAGGCUGGGACUCAAGAGUCUUUUGUCCUCACUUCGGCCAAAGCCUCGAAGAUUGAAGGAGCAAAAAUUGCCACGAUUCUCUCCGACUUGCGGUGUAGACGCGCCCCCCAGGUACGUGUGAAGAAUUUGCAUUAGAGGCAGCCAGACACUGCGCUCCGGUAGUUUGAGGACCGCUUCGGACCAGAGCUUUGGGACCCAGUUCUCUGGUUACCUGAUGUGAGACAUAGUUCUAUGGUUAGUGAUAGGUUCAACCCAGAAAGGAACGCCACCUUGAAGUCUAUCUCAUGGUCUAGACUGAAUAAGCAGUCAAGGUAUGUCUCAGGCUGAGCACUGCCACACCGAGGAACAUCCGGAAAUCCUUGCCGCAACUAGAUUUGGAGAAUACAAAACCAGUCUCCCUGUGUAAUAUGGGGCCAAACUUCCUUAAAGAGAGAAACAAGCAAAAGCUUCUUUGUUAAUACCUUGUA